CGGGUGCUAACGUCCGUCGUGGAAAGGGAAACAACCCAGACCGUCAGCUAAGGUCCCAAAGUUCUGGUUAAGUGGGAAACGAUGUGAGAAGGCCCAGACAGCCAGGAGGUUGGCUUAGAAGCAGCCAUCCUUUAAAGAAAGCGUAAUAGCUCACUGGUCGAGUCGGCUCGCGCGGAAGAUUUAACGGGGCUCAAACUAGACACCGAAGCUACGGGGUUCAGUGGACAGUUGACAGUGGACAGUACACAGUUUGGUGAGUAUACAUGCAGGGUUUUGAGCAGUUGGAUGUAUUCAGGAAAGCGUACCGGGCUUCGCAGGAAGUUCAUAAGCUCACACUUGAAUAUCCAAAGCAUGAACAAAUGCAUGGUCUUGCUGACCAAAUGCGCAGAGCCAGUAAAGGCAUAUGCGCAAAUGUUGCUGAAGGCUAAGGCAAAAUGAGUAUUUCAAAAGCUGAAUUUCGAAGGUUCUUAUUAAUGGCCAUCGGAUCAGCCGACGAAAUGCGGGUAUGGAUCAGAUACUCACUGGAUCUCGGAUACAUCGAGAAAAAUCAGUGGGAAUACCUGAAAACCGAAUACCAGACAAUUGCCAAAAUGCUAACGAAUUUGCACAAAAGUCACCAAUGACUCAAGGCAAAACCGUCCACCGUCUACUGUCAACUGUCUACUGAACCGGUAGAGGAGCGUUCUGUAAGCCGUUGAAGGUCAAUCGGGAGGUUGGCUGGAGGUAUCAGAAGUGCGAAUGCUGACAUGAGUAACGACAAGGGGAGUGAGAAGCUCCCCCGCCGGAAGACCAAGGGUUCCUGCGCAACGCUAAUCGGCGCAGGGUGAGUCGGCCCCUAAGGUGAGGUCGAAAGACGUAAUCGAUGGGAAACAGGUCAAUAUUCCUGUACCCCUUCUGACUGCGAUGGAGUGACGGAGAAGGCUAGGUCAGCGCAGCGUUGGUUGUCUGCGUUUAAGAUCGUAGGCCGGGGAUCCAGGCAAAUCCGGAUCCUCAAGGCCGAGAAUUGAUGACGAGGCUCUACGGAGCUGAAGUGAUUGAUGCCAUGCUUCCAGGAAAAACUUCUAAGCUUCAGGUCAGAAGGGACCGUACCCCAAACCGACACAGGUGGUCAGGUAGAGAAUACCAAGGCGCUUGAGAGAACUCGGGUGAAGGAACUAGGCAAAAUGGCACCGUAACUUCGGGAGAAGGUGCGCCGGCUUUGGUGAUCGGACUUGCUCCGUAAGCUGAGGCUGGUCGAAGAUACCAGGUGGCUGCGACUGUUUAUUAAAAACACAGCACUGUGCAAACACGAAAGUGGACGUAUACGGUGUGACGCCUGCCCGGUGCCGGAAGGUUAAUUGAUGGGGUUAUCUUCGGAGAAGCUCUUGAUCGAAGCCCCGGUAAACGGCGGCCGUAACUAUAACGGUCCUAAGGUAGCGAAAUUCCUUGUCGGGUAAGUUCCGACCUGCACGAAUGGCGUAACGAUGGCCACGCUGUCUCCAC
rnacentral:rRNA from 1 species